GUGCUUGCACCUGAUGGCGAGUGGCGAACGGGUGAGUAAUGCAUCGGAACGUGCCCAAUCGUGGGGGAUAACGCAGCGAAAGCUGUGCUAAUACCGCAUACGAUCUACGGAUGAAAGCGGGGGACCUUCGGGCCUCGCGCGAUUGGAGCGGCCGAUGUUAGAUUAGGUAGUUGGUGGGGUAAAGGCUCACCAAGCCGACGAUCUAUAGCUGGUCUGAGAGGACGACCAGCCACACUGGAACUGAGACACGGUCCAGACUCCUACGGGAGGCAGCAGUGGGGAAUUUUGGACAAUGGGCGAAAGCCUGAUCCAGCAAUACCGCGUGCAGGAAGAAGGCCUUCGGGUUGUAAACUGCUUUUGUACGGAACGAAAAGGUCUGCCUUAAUACGGUGGGCUCAUGACGGUACCGUAAGAAUAAGCACCGGCUAACUACGUGCCAGCAGCCGCGGUAAUACGUAGGGUGCGAGCGUUAAUCGGAAUUACUGGGCGUAAAGCGUGCGCAGGCGGCUUUGUAAGACAGACGUGAAAUCCCCGGGCUCAACCUGGGAAUUGCGUUUGUGACUGCAAGGCUAGAGUACGGUA
rnacentral:rRNA from 1 species